rnacentral:rRNA from 1 species
GACGAACGCUGGCGGCGUGCCUAAUACAUGCAAGUAGAACGCAGUUGCGAACGGGUGAGUAACGCGUAGGUAACUGCCUCAUCGCGGGGGAUAACUAUUGGCAACGAUAGCUAAUACCGCAUACUGUGAGAUGGACCUGCGUUGUAUUAGGUAGUUGGUGAGGUAAAGGCUCACCAAGGCGACGAUACAUAGCGGACCUGAGAGGGGGAGCGGCCACACUGGGACUGAUUGACGGCCCAGUCUCCUACGGAAUGCAGCAGGAGGGAGUCGUCGGCAAUGGACGGAAGUCUGACCGAGCAACGUCGCGUGAGUCAAGAUGGUGGUCGGAUCGUAUCGCUCUGUUGUUAGAGAAGCGGUAACUAGCCAGAAAGGGACGGCUAACUACGUGCCAGCAGCCGCGGUAAUUC